GGAAGCAUGCAACAAUAGCUUUUGAGAUGCUUUGGUGUUCCCUCGGAGAAUCCGGGGCUUGAGCCAAAGAACACCAUCUCGGGAGACGCUGCUUCU
rfam:Candidatus Lloydbacteria bacterium RIFCSPLOWO2_12_FTLL_51_9 rifcsplowo2_12_scaffold_46687, whole genome shotgun sequence.